rnacentral:rRNA from 1 species
UAGCUAGUUGGUGAGGUAACGGCCCACCAAGGCGACGAUCGGUAGCCGGACUGAGAGGUUGAACGGCCACAUUGGGACUGAGACACGGCCCAGACUCCUACGGGAGGCAGCAGUGGGGAAUAUUGCACAAUGGGGGAAACCCUGAUGCAGCGACGCCGCGUGGAGGAAGAAGGUCUUCGGAUUGUAAACUCCUGUUGUUGAGGAAGAUAAUGACGGUACUCAACAAGGAAGUGACGGCUAACUAUGUGCCAGCAGCCGCGGUAAAACGUAGGUCACAAGCGUUGUCCGGAAUUACUGGGUGUAAAGGGAGCGCAGGCGGGAAGACAAGUUGGAAGUGAAAUCCAUGGGCUUAACCCAUGAACUGCUUUCAAAACUGUUUUUCUUGAGUAGUGCAGAGGUAGGCGGAAUUCCCGGUGUAGCGGUGGAAUGCGUAGAUAUCGGGAGGAACACCAGUGGCGAAGGCGGCCUACUGGGCACCAACUGACGCUGAGGCUCGAAAGUGUGGGUAGCAAACAGGAUUAGAUACCCUGGUAGUCCACACCGUAAACGAUGAUUACUAGGUGUUGGAGGAUUGACCCCUUCAGUGCCGCAGUUAACACAAUAAGUAAUCCACCUGGGGAGUACGACCGCAAGGUUGAAACUCAAAGGAAUUGACGGGGGCCCGCACAAGCAGUGGAGUAUGUGGUUUAAUUCGACGCAACGCGAAGAACCUUACCAAGUCUUGACAUCCGUUGACCGCUGUAGAAAUACAGUUUUCCUUCGGGACAGCGAGACAGGUGGUGCAUGGUUGUCGUCAGCUCGUGUCGUGAGAUGUUGGGUUAAGUCCCGCAACGAGCGCAACCCUUAUGGUCAGUUACUACGCAAGAGGACUCUGGCCAGACUGCCGUUGACAAAACGGAGGAAGGUGGGGAUGACGUCAAAUCAUCAUGCCCUUUAUGACUUGGGCUACACACGUACUACAAUGGCGUUAAACAAAGAGAAGCAAGACCGCGAGGUGGAGCAAAACUCAGAAACAACGUCCCAGUUCGGACUGCAGGCUGCAACUCGCCUGCACGAAGUCGGAAUUGCUAGUAAUCGUGGAUCAGCAUGCCACGGUGAAUACGUUCCCGGGCCUUGUACACACCGCCCGUCACACCAUGAGAGCCGGGGGGACCCGAAGUCGGUAGUCUAACCGCAAGGAGGACGCCGCCGAAGGUAAAACUGGUGAUGGGGUGAAGUCGUAACAAGGUAG